GCCCGGCUAGCUCAAUCAGUAGAGCGUGAGACUCUUAUUACUUCGAGUCCGAAAGUAAAGACUUGUCAAUCUCAAGGCUGUGGGUUCGACCCCCACGUCGGGCU